GUGUCAAGGCCCGGGAACGUAUUCACCGCGGCAUGCUGAUCCGCGAUUACUAGCAAUUCCGGCUUCACGCAGGCGGGUUGCAGCCUGCGAUCCGAACUGAGACUAUUUUUCUGAGGUUUGCUCUGCCUCNNUACUUCGCUUCUCUCUGUUAAUAGCCAUUGUAGUACGUGUGUAGCCCAGGUCAUAAAGGGCAUGAUGAUUUGACGUCAUCCCCACCUUCCUCCGUUUUGUCAACGGCAGUCUCGCUAGAGUCCUCUUGCGUAGUAACUAACGAUAAGGGUUGCGCUCGUUGCGGGACUUAACCCAACAUCUCACGACACGAGCUGACGACAACCAUGCACCACCUGUCUCCGUGUCCCGAAGGACUUCACUAAUCUCUUAGCUAUGCACGGGAUGUCAAGACCUGGUAAGGUUCUUCGCGUUGCUUCGAAUUAAACCACAUACUCCACUGCUUGUGCGGGCCCCCGUCAAUUCCUUUGAGUUUCAACCUUGCGGUCGUACUCCCCAGGUGGAUUACUUAUUGUGUUAACUGCGGCACGGA
rnacentral:rRNA from 1 species